GUCUAAGGCCAUAUAACCCUGAAUGUGCCCAAUCUCAUCUAGUCUUGGAAGCUAAGCAGGGUCUGGCCUGGUUAGUACUUGGAUAGGAGACAGAUCUUCAGAAGAGACUGCUCAGAAACAAGCAGUUUGGAGA
rnacentral:rRNA from 1 species